rnacentral:rRNA from 1 species
UAGGGAAUCUUCCACAAUGGACGAAAGUCUGAUGGAGCAACGCCACGUGAGUGAAGAAGGGUUUCGGCUCGUAAAGCUCUGUUGUUAAAGAAGAACGUGGGUAAGAGUAACUGUUUACCCAGUGACGGUAUUUAACCAGAAAGCCACGGCUAACUACGUGCCAG